GAUGAACGCUGGCGGCGUGCCUAAUACAUGCAAGUCGAGCGAACGGACGAGAAGCUUGCUUCUCUGAUGUUAGCGGCGGACGGGUGAGUAACACGUGGAUAACCUACCUAUAAGACUGGGAUAACUUCGGGAAACCGGAGCUAAUAUCGGAUAAUAUUUUGAACCGCAUGGUUCAAAAGUGAAAGACGGUCUUGCUGUCACUUAUAGAUGGAUCCGCGCUGCAUUAGCUAGUUGGUAAGGUAACGGCUUACCAAGGCAACGAUGCAUAGCCGACCUGAGAGGGUGAUCGGCCACACUGGAACUGAGACACGGUCCAGACUCCUACGGGAGGCAGCAGUAGGGAAUCUUCCGCAAUGGGCGAAAGCCUGACGGAGCAACGCCGCGUGAGUGAUGAAGGUCCUCGGAUCGUAAAACUCUGUUAUUAGGGAAGAACAUAUGUGUAAGUAACUGUGCACAUCUUGACGGUACCUAAUCAGAAAGCCACGGCUAACUACGUG
rnacentral:rRNA from 1 species